rfam:Clostridium sp. CAG:43 genomic scaffold, scf476
AGGAACAGAGAUAAAAACACAACGUAAGGGAUAAUAUCUCUUAUAGAGCCGGUAGGUAGUCCGGCCACACCACUUUGGUGUAAGUAGCCCUCCCUCCUUAGGGUCGUCCGUUCUUUGUUCAGUACAA